CUCGAAGUAGCUCACCUGGUAGAGCAUCUGUUUGUAACAUAGAAGGUAAUCGGUUCGAUCCCGAUCUUCGAGA
rnacentral:tRNA from 1 species